CAUGUUAACAUGAAUAUGUGACAUUUGCCCGAUGCGAAUAUGAUUUUCAUUCCUAAAUAAAAGUUAGUGUGUAUGAAGCAGUGAGUGUGGGACUACGCAGGGAGCAGCUAGGAUGCAAGGUCAAGAAGCAGUGAAAGAAGACGACGAUGAAGGCCCACCACCAGGGUGGCAACCUCUCCCCAUUCCGCCGCCGCCGUCACGCCCAUCCAGUUUGGCUCAAAUGGUUUGUGGUUCUUGUCGUCGCCUGCUUUCAUAUCCAAGAGGUGCCAAACAUGUCAAAUGUUCAUGCUGUCAGACGGUCAACAUUGUAUUAGAAGCUGAUCAGGUUGGGCAAGUUAAAUGUGGGAGUUGUGCGGUAUUGCUAAUGUACCCAUAUGGUGCUUCACAAGUUAGGUGUUCCUCAUGCCGAUUUGUGACAGAAAUCGGGGAACAAAACAAGCGGCCUCCAUUGUCUGUACAACAAAGGAAACCAGCUCCUUCCAAAACUGGUUGUUAGUGGUCUGUCCAUUGGUUUUUAGUUGGACCAUCUUUGUAUAACAAAUUAGGUGUAAAGGGAAAAUAAUUAUUUAAUUGGGAAAUACAUCUCUCAAGUUGCUGGAGAGAAGCUUUUUUUCCUACUGACCCAUUAAAAGAUCAAAACUCUAGUCUUUUAGGGGGAUAAAAGGAGGCAUCAAGCGGGGGAGUCCCCUUUCUAUUGUAGUAUUGAUAUUGAAAUAUAUGGAUGACACCAAUGCAAACAAUUCAAUUUUCUAUGAAAGCUUU